rnacentral:lncRNA from 1 species
CUAAUGUUAAGUGUAUCUACAUCCCGGGAUUGAGAUUUAUUUACUAUACUAGCAAAAAAAAAAAAGAAAAGAAAAGAAAUGAUGAUACGUUUUUUUUUUAAUAAUUAAAUAAUUAACGUUAAAAAUAUAUGUAAUUAACUUGAUCUAAAACUUGACCUCGCUCAUAAUAGAGAAUGUUAAAAAUCAAUUGUGUCGACUGCACGGGAUUGUCCAACGGCGGGAAAUACCCUGUAACUAUAAACACAGGUGAUGUUACUGACCGAUUGUGGAAUGUCAACUCAGGGUUAAAGUGAUGUGUAAUGAUUGUGCGCUUGAAAGUUGAGGCUCUAGUAGGUUCAUUUCAAUUGAUAAUCGAAAAUCUAAAAUCAUUUUUUUUUUCAAAUCAACGAUGAAGUUUUGGAUAUUAUGGAAGGGAUUUUUUUUAAGGACAACGGAGGUACCUUAAAAGUCUAUAGGAAAAUAUAC